UACGGAGGGUGCAAGCGUUUAAUCGGAAUUACUGGGCGUAAAGCGCGCGUAGGCGGCUCGGUCAGUCGGGUGUGAAAUCCCUGGGCUCAACCUGGGAACUGCAUUCGAUACUGCCGAGCUAGAGUGUGGGAGAGGGUAGUGGAAUUCCCGGUGUAGCGGUGAAAUGCGUAGAUAUCGGGAGGAACAUCAGUGGCGAAGGCGACUGCCUGGCCCAACACUGACGCUGAGGUGCGAAAGCGUGGGUAGCAAACAGG
rnacentral:rRNA from 1 species